AGACGGAACCGCCGCCGCCGCGAGUGGCGGCGACGCCGGCGAUCGAGCGGUGGCUCUGAUAGUCGCGAGCUCCGUGGUCUCGGGGCUGGCGUGCUUCCUCGGCGGGGCGCGGACGAGGAGGCCGCUCUCGGCCGCCUUCGGGGCGGCUCACGGAGCUCUCAAGGUGGCGAGAGGCGUCGGAGAGCUCCGGUUCCCUGCUCUCCGCGGACUGAAACUCGCCGUCAAGGUCCUGAUCAAGGGAUACAAGGCUUCAAAACGCUUCAAUCUGGUCGCGGCAACACCCCGGGGAUCCUCCACCGCCUCCAGGAAGCUCAUCGCUUAUCUGAGGGCUCUCAACGUCGCCAGGUACGCCCGCUGCUUCCUCUUUCACGACGGGGCUGCCGGAGUAGGGUUUCUGAGGAACUGCUACAAGUUGUCGAGGAAUUUUCCCAAGGCCUUGGAAGAUUUCUCGUGUAUCCGGUUGCAUUCCACUCUCAGAGAGAGCCUGGAUGCGGUGGCGCUGUCGAUUAAGAUCGCACUGGUGGCGGUGGAGCUGGAGAGGAUCGCCAUUGCAGCGCGUCGAGGGAAGCAUCGCCAUUGCAGGUCUGUGAGGAGGGGCGCUCAUUCGGGGUACGCCGUUCGUUCGAAGCCGCGGAGGACGGCGGUCGAUCGGGGGUCUGCAGGCGUCGAGAGAUUCGCAGAGCGGAGCUCACUUCACGAACAAACUCCCGCGAUCGAUCUCUCGGGAUUGCUCUGUUUGUCGAUUCCUCUGAUCCACGAGAACAUUCCAUCCAAGAUCUCACCAGAUAAAUAAAUAAUUUACGCCGACCGAUCUGCGGCAUCAUCAUACAAUCGCACAUCCCAGAGACUAAUCUGAGCGACGAGCUGUCGAGGUAGCAGUAGAUUGCGGCAAUUGGAAAUAUUUCUUUCCACGGGUGUUCUUCAAACUAUCUUGCGGAAAAUAUUUAUAAUUUCCAGAUAAAAAAGAGGGCC
rnacentral:lncRNA from 1 species